rnacentral:rRNA from 1 species
CAGCCGCCACGGUAAUACGAAGGGUGCAAGCGUUAAUCGGAAUUACUGGGCGUAAAGCGUGCGUAGGCGGUUUGUUAAGUCUGUUGUGAAAUCCCCGGGCUCAACCUGGGAAUGGCAAUGGAUACUGGCAAGCUAGAGUGUGUCAGAGGAUGGUGGAAUUCCCGGUGUAGCGGUGAAAUGCGUAGAGAUCGGGAGGAACAUCAGUGGCGAAGGCGGCCAUCUGGGACAACACUGACGCUGAGGCACGAAAGCGUGGGGAGCAAACAGGAUUAGAUACCCGCGUAGUCCCUGUCUCUUAUAA